ensembl:lncRNA
UGAAAAGAUUGCAAGUCCUCAGACAAACAAAUAACUCCUGGCUCUUCAUGCCUCUGCUCACUGACUUCUAAACAGGUAUCACACAUCAUCCCUGCAUUUUUGAAGCUGCUAGUUUUAGUACUUACUGUCAAAAGUAAUGGUGCCAUUAAGAUUUUAAUUUUUCUCAACAAUUAAAACAACAAAAUAAUGUUUGCGGGAUAAACUGCAGAUGUUAUGUAAUACCUUUGCGUGAUUGUAAGUAAGUACAGCUGUCGGUUGGAAAGAAUGCAAACUUCACACUUUAUACGACUUUUUAAUUGGAGGACGAGUGUAAAGACACAAAUGUACAUUAACAGUUCUCAUGCAGGAAAAAGACACAAAGACAAAACAUUUAUUGUUGUGCAACUCAUCACAGUACAAACAGAAAAAACAUUGACUGAAAAGGUUCAAAGGUUAUAGAAAAACUUUCCAGUCUAUCACAUAGCAGCACAUUAUGGCACUCUUUUAGAGAGAGAGAGAAAGAGAGAGAGCGAGCAUGAAUCACCAUUAGAUAUGUUACAACCCAACUUUAAAAAACAAAACAAAAAAAAAACCCCACAACUAAACUACGCAAUCACAGUAAUGUGGUUCUAAAUGGCCGAGUGGUAAUCGUCCAACUAUUUCACGUUAGACUGCUUGGUCUAUGACACAUGAUUGUUUACCAAACAAUAUCAACAGCCUAUUUUGCAAUAACAUUGAAAUCUGCUUCCUUACGUCAACACUGCAAUCAUCCCUUAAAGCUGAUAAAGACAUUUUUCUCCUCCCCAGUCCCUGUGGCUGCUUUUCAUAUUGCACAACAUCAGCCUUCUCAUCGUCUCUCUCCACAGUCUGUUGGCCUCCGUCCCUCCUGAAGAGAUGUCGGUCUUAGAAGUCCUCUCCUAUAAAAACCACGCCCAGCUCAACAAAAAAAAAAAACAAAUCAAAAACACAGCCCAGCUCAUGAAUCUUCUUUAGGCCAGUAGGUGACACGAGGGAUGUCACAUAUUUUGAAAUGACUCCACCGGUGCGGCUCCUUGAACAUUUCACUUCACCUAAGGAGGCAUAUCCAAAGUCCAUGAGGCAAUGUGAAAACUCUGCACACAAUAAUGUCUUAUAAUCCCUGAGGAGCGCUGAUGCGUGACUGGAAAAGACAGUGUUGGGAUGAGGUCAGGGCACACAGUCGAUCCCAGUGAUGUACUGUGGUAGUGGACGUUUGCAGCUCCUAGUCGCUGGGAUGUUCCGGGCAGGAGCGAUUCACCUCAAACCACGCGUCUAUACACCUGCAACAGUAACAAGGAGGCUUGAUUCAAACGGAGCUGGAAACAUAUUUAGUGUUUGUGAACACAACAAAUGGAACCAGCUCGAAGUAAAAAAAAAAAAACCAAAAUAUUUUUAUGUAUAUUUUAAUUUGUAUAUUUUUUAAGUUAAAAAUGGAAAAUAAAAUAUUAUCACAACAAUUAUGAAGAACUUAUUCACUUAUGCCAAUGUGCUUGUGUAUCGUUUUGUUCCUCUCACUGAUUAUUAUUUUUUAGGAUCUAUAUGGAAAAGCUGUAAUUCUUGUUCUUAGAACCAAUGAGGUUAAUGUAAAUAUUAUGCUUGUUUCAACUCCACAUUUUUAUUCUGGGACUCCUCUAGUGUAUCUUGGCAUUGCUCCCAGUCAAAACACUUGGCCUUAUCUCAGAUUGUUAUGCGGCCCCCUAGUCCAGCCUCUGCAUGGAACAGCUCAUGCUAUCCCCAGGCUUCCUUCAGGCCCCACUUCACUGAAAGUUUUCCCGAUUGGUCACCUUCUGAAAGCCUGCAGAGGGGACAGCACCCAGUCGCUGUUGGCACUGUUUAUUCCUCUCGCUGGCUUAAAGGUUCCUAAACAAAACUGUAGCACUACUAACUAAAUUCCCAUUCCUGAUUGGGAAUGGGGCUUUCUC